rnacentral:rRNA from 1 species
GUGUUUCCUGCGGAAUAGCUCCGGGAAACUGGAAUUAAUACCGCAUACGCCCUACGGGGGAAAGAUUUAUCGGGGAAGGAUUGGCCCGCGUUGGAUUAGCUAGUUGGUGGGGUAAAGGCCUACCAAGGCGACGAUCCAUAGCUGGUCUGAGAGGAUGAUCAGCCACAUUGGGACUGAGACACGGCCCAAACUCCUACGGGAGGCAGCAGUGGGGAAUAUUGGACAAUGGGCGCAAGCCUGAUCCAGCCAUGCCGCGUGAGUGAUGAAGGCCUUAGGGUUGUAAAGCUCUUUCACCGGAGAAGAUAAUGACGGUAUCCGGAGAAGAAGCCCCGGCUAACUUCGUGCCAGCAGCCGCGGUAAUACGAAGGGGGCUAGCGUUGUUCGGAAUUACUGGGCGUAAAGCGCACGUAGGCGGAUAUUUAAGUCAGGGGUGAAAUCCCAGAGCUCAACUCUGGAACUGCCUUUGAUACUGGGUAUCUUGAGUAUGGAAGAGGUAAGUGGAAUUCCGAGUGUAGAGGUGAAAUUCGUAGAUAUUCGGAGGAACACCAGUGGCGAAGGCGGCUUACUGGUCCAUUACUGACGCUGAGGUGCGAAAGCGUGGGGAGCAAACAGGAUAAGAUACCCUGUUAGUCCACGCCGUAAACGAUGAAUGUUAGCCGUCGGGCAGUAUACUGUUCGGUGGCGCACUAAAGCACUAAACAUUCCGCC